GUCUCACUAAAUACUUUGCAGCAUUUCCAUCCUCUUUUGAAUACUGUGUUUUUAGGUCUCUCCUGGGCAUUACGGUCCUGUUGAAGGGCCAGCUGUGUGAAAAGCCCCUGAAGAGUGUCCGUGACCUCGUAACUCCUGAAUCCUCUGCUUUUCCUCCACAGCUCCAAUUAAGGAUCUGCUCUACUCUGCCCGCAGCCUUGGUAAGGCAGAGCAUCACAGGAAGAGGAAAGCGAAUUCCUGUGAUACAAGUACUGGUGCAGAGGAGGGGGGAAGACAAGACUUGAUCAUAUAAGGAAGAGUGAGGCAGGUUCCUAAGUAAAGCUGUGAGACAACAAGAGAGAGGCACAGUUGUGUUGUUAUGCAUAGAAGGCCAGAGUUGAGUCUGGUUUCUUGAGGGUGAUGUCCUGGCAAGUACUCUGGCACACAUGCUGUAGUAUAGUGUUCCAGUGCAUCCGUACAUCCAUCUAUGCUGCAAAUGGCACGGG
rnacentral:lncRNA from 1 species